UACACCAUCUCUACAAACCUAACUACACAAACUACCACUCCUCAAACUUUCCUUUGUCUCCCGACACCCAUUCAAUUCACCUUACUUAAAGUUUUCUUCUUUUCUGAGCCAUUAUUAUCUUCUUCUUUUUCUAUAUUAUUUCAGUGUUGCUACCUUCUCUAUUCUUGCUCCAAUUUGGACCUUUUGUUGUAUGGGUUUCAGGUUUAGGAGAUUUAAUUUUACUUCGCAGAUGUUUGCUCCUAUUGUUCCGUGCUUUACUUGUGAUUAGUGCGGCAGGCUGCAGCAUCAGAAAAGGAUGAUAAUGUGAUAUCUUUUCUCCAAUUUGACAUGACAUAGGGAGUGCAUGUGGCUGAUGUUUGUUGGUGGACGAGAGAGAAGGACAAACGGAGGAAGAACCGGAAGUAUGAUUCCUCCGAAGAAAGGAAAAUUCAAAUAUUUAUUUCUUUUAUGUUUGCAUCUCAGAUCAUUAUAUAUUAAUUUCUUUUAUAUGUUUAAUUAAAUUUGUAGAGUUAUUUGAAUUCUCAAGUUUAUCAAUACAUGUUGUAUCAAGGUGUUUUUCAUUUCUUCCUCACUUUUUAGUAAUUAAACUAGUUAUCAAAUUUUGAGGAACAUAAGCGAAUUUGGUUGAUGCUGCUGGAAUGAGACUUAGAAUCCGCCCAAUGGCUUGAGAAGUUAAAUUGGAGAUGGUGCUUGGAUGACCAAUGUUAAGAACGUAUUUUGACAUGCCAAGUCGCAGUGCACUUGAAGUCAUAGGUGUUUGAGAGAACAUGCAUGAUGAGCUAACCCAUCAGCUGCAUAUUUCCUUUCCUUGUAGACAUGAUGGAUGUUAUAUGUUUGAUUGACAAGACAUGUAUAUUAAUUUUGAUCUAUUAAUUUGUAUUUCACUUAAUAUA